CACAAUAACAUAUGAAGGCUGCACGCGGCUGUGCCCCCGGGCGCAGUGCUGCUGAGGCUGGAUUAUUUAUUUACCCUUGUCUUUUGCGCACUUGUUGUUUCCUGGGCGGGUUCGCCCGCCGCCAGGACCACACCAUAAACCUUUUUUUAUGCAGUUGCAAUCAGCGUCAGUACAACAAAUGUAAAUCAUUUA
rnacentral:misc_RNA from 1 species